rnacentral:sRNA from 1 species
CAGGCUUACAUCCAAAUACAGAUUUACCCCAGAAGAGAAUGAAACAAUGUUCAGAACCCCUGAAAACUGUGUUCAAGGAGGUCAUCUGGAUUUUUUUGAGACAGGGGUCUUACUCUUGUUGCCCAGGCUGGAAUGCAAUGGUGCAGUCUUGGCUCACUACAGCCUCUACCGCUCCUGCUCAAGUAAUCCUUCCACCUCAGCCCCCUGAGUAGCUGGGACUACAAGCACACGCCACCAUGCCAGGCUAAUUUUUGUAUUUUUUGUAGAGACUGUGUUUCACCGUAUUGCCCAGGCUGGUCUUGAACUCUUGGACUCAAGCAAUCCACCUGCCUCAGCCUCCCAAAGUGCUCACAGGCAUGAGGCAACGUACCCAGCCUCAUUUGAUACUUUUAAAAUACAUUUUUAAUAUUUUUUUCCUCCAAGAUGCCUUCCCCAUUGUGUAAGUUUCAGGUCUUACAAACCUGGAUCCACCCCAGCAGUCUGAGUUGCAUAUAUACAUACCUCCUAUUUACAUGUCCCUCCUCCCACUAUUAUGUCACCUUUCUAAACACCGCAAUUGGGAGAUGAGACAAUGCGCAGGAACCAAGAACUGUUCUGGUGAAGAGGACCCAGGGGCAGUGAGAGGGGGCUAGGGACAAAAGGUGAAUGGGGAGCUGGUUCAGGUUAGAAGAAUGGGUGCAUGUGAGGGGCAUUUGGAGAAUGCGAGCUGGGGGAGGGAGAGUGGCUGAGCCUGUAGGCACGGUAGACACAUGUAGUAAUGACGGGGAUGUGUUAUGCCCCACACCAGGUGUUGUCCUACAUCAAUGGGGUCACAACAAGCAAACCUGGAGUAUCCUUGGUCUACUCCAUGCCCUCCCGGAACCUGUCCCUGCGGCUGGAGGGUCUCCAGGAGAAAGACUCUGGCCCCUACAGCUGCUCCGUGAAUGUGCAAGACAAACAAGGCAAAUCUAGGGGCCACAGCAUCAAAACCUUAGAACUCAAUGUACUGGGUGAGUGAGAAGCAGAUUUCCGGAUCCCUCCCCACCUGCACUGGGAGGUCUGGUGAGUCUCUCUCCUAAAUGACAAAAGUUGGAGGAGGAACAAAUGAAGCGACAGAAGGGUGCAGGACAGAGGGAGAGGAUCUGUGGGUCUCCUGGGUGUGGUUUUAAUCUGUCUCCCCCUGCCCAGUUCCUCCAGCUCCUCCAUCCUGCCGUCUCCAGGGUGUGCCCCGUGUGGGGGCAAACGUGACCCUGAGCUGCCAGUCUCCAAGGAGUAAGCCCGCUGUCCAAUACCAGUGGGAUCGGCAGCUUCCAUCCUUCCAGACUUUCUUUGCACCAGCAUUAGAUGUCAUCCGUGGGUCUUUAAGCCUCACCAACCUUUCAUCUUCCAUGGCUGGAGUCUAUGUCUGCAAGGCCCACAAUGAGGUGGGCACUGCCCAAUGUAAUGUGACGCUGGAAGUGAGCACAGGGCCUGGAGCUGCAGUGGUUGCUGGAGCUGUUGUGGGUACCCUGGUUGGACUGGGGUUGCUGGCUGGGCUGGUCCUCUUGUACCACCGCCGGGGCAAGGCCCUGGAGGAGCCAGCCAAUGAUAUCAAGGAGGAUGCCAUUGCUCCCCGGACCCUGCCCUGGCCCAAGAGCUCAGACACAAUCUCCAAGAAUGGGACCCUUUCCUCUGUCACCUCCGCACGAGCCCUCCGGCCACCCCAUGGCCCUCCCAGGCCUGGUGCAUUGACCCCCACGCCCAGUCUCUCCAGCCAGGCCCUGCCCUCACCAAGACUGCCCACGACAGACGGGGCCCACCCUCAACCAAUAUCCCCCAUCCCUGGUGGGGUUUCUUCCUCUGGCUUGAGCCGCAUGGGUGCUGUGCCUGUGAUGGUGCCUGCCCAGAGUCAAGCUGGCUCUCUGGUGUGAUGACCCCACCACUCACUGGCUAAAGGAUUUGGGGUCUCUCCUUCCUAUAGGGGUCACCUCUAGCACAGAGGCCUGAGUCAUGGGAAAGAGUCACACUCCUGACCCUUAGUACUCUGCCCCCACCUCUCUUUACUGUGGGAAAACCAUCUCAGUAAGACCUAAGUGUCCAGGAGAUAGAAGGAGAAGAGGAAGUGGAUCUGGAAUUGGGAGGAGCCUCCACCCACCCCUGACUCCUCCUUAUGAAGCCAGCUGCUGAAAUUAGCUACUCACCAAGAGUGAGGGGCAGAGACUUCCAGUCACUGAGUCUCCCAGGCCCCCUUGAUCUGUACCCCACCCCUAUCUAACACCACCCUUGGCUCCCACUCCAGCUCCCUGUAUUGAUAUAACCUGUCAGGCUGGCUUGGUUAGGUUUUACUGGGGCAGAGGGUAGGGAAUCUCUUUUUAAAA